rnacentral:rRNA from 1 species
CCUACGGGUGGCAGCAGUCGAGAAUCAUUCACAAUGGGGGAAACCCUGAUGGUGCGACGCCGCGUGGGGGAAUGAAGGUCUUCGGAUUGUAAACCCCUGUCAUGUGGGAGCAAAUUAAAAAGAUAGUACCACAAGAGGAAGAGACGGCUAACUCUGUGCCAGCAGCCGCGGUAAUACAGAGGUCUCAAGCGUUGUUCGGAACCACUGGGCGUAAAGCGUGCGUAGGCUGUUUCCUAAGUCGUGUGUGAAAGGCGCGGGCUCAACCCGCGGACGGCACAUGAUACUGCGAGACUAGAGUAAGGGAGGGGGAACCGGAAUUCUCGGUGUAGCAGUGAAAUGCGUAGAUAUCGAGAGGAACACUCGUGGCGAAGGCGGGUUCCUGGACAUUAACUGACGCUGAGGCACGAAGGCCAGGGGAGCGAAAGGGAUUAGAUACCCUGGUAGUC